AUAGAUUUAUUCCCAGAAAUAUUUUUUUGUAGGGAGGAGGAUGAGGCAACAGAGGAAGAGGGCAGUUGGGAAGAUUCUGAUCUCUUUGCUCUGUCUCUAAAGCAGAGUUUCAAAUUGUCAUCUUUUUUUUUUUUCGUCUUUUUGCCAUUGCUUGGGCCGCUCCUGCGGCAUAUGGAGGUUCCCAGGCUAGGGGUCCAAUCGGAGCUGUAGCCACCAGCCUACACCAGAGCCACAGCAAAGCGGGAUCUGAGCCUCGUCUGCAACCUACACCACAGCUCAUGGCUUGGAUCCCACGUUGCUGUGGCUCUGGUGUAGGCCGGCAACUAUAGUCUGGGAACCUCCAUAUGCUGUGAAUGUGGCCCUGGAAAAGACCAAAAAAGACACACACACAAAAAGUUUCCUUAAGUCAUUCUUCUGCUGUCCUUUUCCAUGUCUUUUACCGCCCCCCCGCACACACACAUGUGUGUAGGAGAUUCCUCAAAUGGGUUCUUUAGAUCUCUGAAUGGUGCUAUCUAUGUAUUCUUUGAACUAUCUUGGAAAAUUCCUAAUAUUUGAGUAUUUGUGUGUAUACUGUAGCAGAUACAAAGAAAUCUAAGACAAUUAUUUUUUCUUUAAGGAUAAAUGAUGCCCUGUAUCUAGAAGUAGUUGCUCAUUUCCAAGGUUAUACCCGUUUUCCUCUUGAUUUUUAGAAAGAAGAUAACAAUUUUUUUCCCAGAAACUUUCGUGAUUGGAUCUGCCAGGUAAUUUGUGUGUACUAUCCUAGGAGCUCACCAAGAGACCUCAGUGGCAGUGAACAAAGCUGCCUGGGAAUUGGUAAGAGAAGCUCUCUCUCUGUCAUCCAUUUGCCUUUUUUUUUGGUCUUUUAAAAAAUUACUCAAAUGAAUUUAUCACAUCUAUAGUUGUAUAAUGAUCAUCAAGUCCAGUUUCACAGGAUUUCCGUCCCACAACCAUUUGCCUUUUGUUUGGAAUCAGGUGGGCUUUGUUGUCUAGUACAAGGAUUAUCUAAUUUAUCUCUGAGUUUUUCUAUGUGAUUCUUGGAGCCCAAAAUCCUGAUGAAUGUAUAAAAGGAAUUUUGAAGUGGUUUGUGGUCACUGUUCUUACACACCUAUGCCUAGAGGUGACUCACUCUUUUAAAAUGUCUCCAAUAAUAUUAUUAUUUUUCUAAAUGUCUGGAAGGUAGAGUCUUGGUUUGCUAGGGAUUAUUUUCAUUUGAAAACAGGUUAAUCAAGAUAUCUUUUUUUUAAAAAAAAUAGCAGCACCAGUUGAAUAGUCUGAACCCAGGUUUGAUUUUGGUUCUUUUUUUCCGACAAGAUGAACUAAAGGAGGGAGGGCUAAAUAAGGUUCAGCUGGAGUCCCCACUCUGCUCGAUUGGUACUGGCUGAAGGAUUCUGAGACCAUGACACAGGCACAGGAGGAAGCAGUGCUGUAAUCAAUUACUGAUGUCUGCAAUAGGCAAGAAGGAAAAAUGUGGCCAUGUAAACGCUAGAUAU
rnacentral:lncRNA from 1 species